UGAACGCUGGCGGCAGGCUUAACACAUGCAAGUCGAGCGGGGGAAGGUAGCUUGCUACCGGACCUAGCGGCGGACGGGUGAGUAAUGCUUAGGAAUCUGCCUAUUAGUGGGGGACAACAUCUCGAAAGGGAUGCUAAUACCGCAUACGUCCUACGGGAGAAAGCAGGGGAUCUUCGGACCUUGCGCUAAUAGAUGAGCCUAAGUCGGAUUAGCUAGUUGGUGGGGUAAAGGCCUACCAAGGCGACGAUCUGUAGCGGGUCUGAGAGGAUGAUCCGCCACACUGGGACUGAGACACGGCCCAGACUCCUACGGGAGGCAGCAGUGGGGAAUAUUGGACAAUGGGGGGAACCCUGAUCCAGCCAUGCCGCGUGUGUGAAGAAGGCCUUAUGGUUGUAAAGCACUUUAAGCGAGGAGGAGGCUACUUUAGUUAAUACCUAGAGAUAGUGGACGUUACUCGCAGAAUAAGCACCGGCUAACUCUGUG
rnacentral:rRNA from 1 species